CCCUAUGGGGUGCGAGAUCGCCUGAAGAAAAAGAAGGUAGUGGCCAUAAGCCCGUUUGUAGGAAAUAAGCCUGUGAGCGGCCCGGCAGCAAAGCUCAUGGAGGCCCGGGGAUUUCCGGCCAGCGAUGAAGGAGUGGCAGCACUUUUGGGCAAGGUAGACAUCUUUGUGGUCGACGGAAAGAGCGACUACACUGGGGACUGCGUGCGCAUGAAAACCCUUAUGAGGACAAAAAAUGAGAGUCUGGCAAUGGCGAAAGGCUUGCUGGAUUUGAUCGGAUGUUCUUAGGCGUAGACCACGGCACCACAGCUAUCAGGUUUGCCAGUGAAAAGGGCUCAAUCUAUGAGCUCUCGCGCAGCUCGGCCGCUGAUCUUUCUUACGAGCAGAUAUUAUCCCGGAUUGAAGAGAGC
rnacentral:rRNA from 1 species